rnacentral:rRNA from 1 species
AUACGGAAGGUCCGGGCGUUAUCCGGAUUUAUUGGGUUUAAAGGGAGCGCAGGCGGAGAUGCAAGCGUGACGUCAAAUUUCGGGGCUCAACCCCGUCUCGCGUCGCGAACUGCGUCCCUUGGUUGCGGGAAGGGGAGGCGGAACUCGUGGUGUAGCGGUGAAAUGCAUAGAUAUCACGAAGAACUCCGAUCGCGAAGGCAGCCUUCCGGCCCGUCAACGACGCUUAUGCUCGAAGGUGCGGGUAUCAAACAGGAUUAGAUGCCCUGGUAGUCCGCACAGUAAACGAUGGACACCCGCGG